rnacentral:lncRNA from 1 species
GGACAGUCUGCAUGGCAGAGCCUGGGCAGAAGCAGGAAGGUAGGGAAGCAGCCACGUUCAGGCAGAAUGGAAGUGCAGCCCUCUGGAACGUCUCCAGUUCCACGGCCUCUUCCGGUCACGUGGCCGUAGGGUCCCAACUGGCUCCCGGAAGCUGGAAACCGGAAGCCGGAAGCUGCAAACAACGCAAAACAAUUUUGAGAAAGGAGAGAAUUUCAUUUGUCAGAAUUCCUCUGACGAGGUCCUAUCCUGGUGAGAGAAGACUCUGAUGAGAAUUCGUAGCAGAGGGCAGGCUUCGGGGCCUGGGCGUGUGCCUCUUGGAAAUAAUGAAACUUUAAAAUGCGUAGAACAAUGCUGGGCACGGUGAAAGGUGCGGGUUCUGGUAUCAGAAGAUGGGUCUGAAGGUCUCCAGGAGCAACAAGCAAUGAACAGGUAUAGGUACCAACUGAGCCCAUGUUUCUCACUGAUUUUCCCUGCAUUUGGAAGUCCCAGGUAAGUCCCCCUCAGAUAUCCCAGCUGCACAGCUUUUGCGUAAGCUCUCAGACUGAUUUGAGCAUUUCUUUUACCAGACUGGGUCCUGAGACAGACUGGGUCCAACUUAAACUGGACUUGGUCCAGUGGGAAAACUCAGAUGGGACCACUAAGAUACCCACUCACUCUGGAACCGGCAGAUGGGAUCCUGGAAAAAGUAGCAGAAACCAGUGGAGGGGAUUAUUUUAUAGACCUUCUCACCUAAGAUAAGAUGGACAUAGGGGAUUUUUUGAUUUCCAGCCUAUUGUAAACUUUUCCCUGAUAGAAAGAUGCAAAUUGAAGAUAAUGUAGUUAGAUGGACGGAUGAGCCCCUCUAUUAUAUCAUUUUUGUCGCAACCCCAUUUUUUGAGGAAUUAAAAGCAACUGCAGUUGUCUUACAAAUCUGGUCUUUAUAAGAAUGUAAAUGUUCAAAGCCCACCUGUCCUUUUAUUAAUCCCCAAGCUCUCCCUUUUCAUCUCAAAAUACUUGCAAGAUACUGUAAAAGACCAAGCAACUGGAAACAAAACUUCUUGGAGAAAACAUGUCCUUUGAGAUGUAAAUGUUCUACCUGGUCUGUAGGAAGCUCUUUGGGUAAAAAUGCAACCCUUCAUUCACUUAGUUUCCAGUGAAAUCUUUAAAGUCUUCUCUAUAAUUAUUAGUAAAAAAAAAAUCUAAGCCCUCUAAGCAGGUAAACUUAACUUAUUCCAUCUGCCAGAAACAUAAUUUGAGUCUAACUCUUUUUCUGUAAACUAGUAAGUUUUAUACUUAAUGUAUCUGUUUCAUUGCUAAAAUUUUAAAAUAAAAGCAAAAAUCUCUGUAUCUGCCUG